GCCUUCAUGGUGUAGUGGUCAGCACGCUCGACGCGUAACCGAGAGGUCCGUGGUUCGAUUCCCGGCCAAGGCG
rnacentral:tRNA from 1 species